UUGGUUCUGAAUGGGGUUUUGAUUUUACUCCGUUUGAUUCUGUUGUGGAGGAUCCAACAGCUGACAACAAGUUCUUUAAAAGUCCAAUUGAUGUAAUUGGUUUUGUGGUCAAAGGUUUUCCCUUUGAGGUGGACAUAGAAACUAAUAAUGGAAAAAACCAGAAGAAAGUCACCUUUAUGCUUGAAGACUUGAAAUGUUUGUGA
rnacentral:lncRNA from 1 species